UACGGGGGGGGCAAGCGUUGUUCGGAAUUACUGGGCGUAAAGGGCUCGUAGGUGGCCUACUAAGUCGGACGUGAAAUCCCUCAGCUUAACUGGGGAACUGCGUCCGAUACUGGAUGGCUUGAGUUUGGGAGAGGGAUGCGGAAUUCCAGGUGUAGCGGUGAAAUGCGUAGAUAUCUGGAGGAACACCGGUGGCGAAGGCGGCAUCCUGGACCAACACUGACACUGAGGAGCGAAAGCCAGGGGAGCAAACGGG
rnacentral:rRNA from 1 species